UGGGUUUACUUAUGUGACGGAGUUAGAAUUGCACGCAAUUAAGGUAGUUAAAUAAAAUAAACCAGUGGUUUAAAAGUGAUACCUAUACGAUUCCCAUACAAGGCUAUUGGCAAAUCUAUAAAAAAUGGAAGGCUAAGUCGUUCCAUCUUAAGCAUAUUAUCCGAGGAACUUGUUCUGUACCACAACUUGGAGGGGGGCAAAACAAGAAGAGGCUCAGACUACCCAAAUUUCGCCCGUGCCUUAUUAAAUGCAAUCGCCCUGGUGGAUCCCUCGGAGCCUCCCGAAAAGGCGCUGCAGAAGGCAAUGCGGUGCGUUAAAAACUUGAGUUGUACCAAAAAAAAAGGCAACGCCGGCACCAGAUGCUGAGAAGGAGGUGCCCAGCGACCCCGAUAACACCGGAAACCCCCGAGCUCAAAUUUUAAAAUAAACAAAUAAAAAUAAAAAA